UCCCAGGUGGCACAGUGGUAAAGAAUCUGCCUGCAAUGCAGGAGACAUGGGUUCGAUCCCUGUGUAGGGAA
rnacentral:tRNA from 1 species